GGGUUGUGAGGUUAAGCGACUAAGCGUACACGGUGGAUGCCUAGGCAGUCAGAGGCGAUGAAGGGCGUGCUAAUCUGCGAUAAGCGACGGCAAGGUGAUAUGAACCGCAACACCCGUCGAUACCCGAAUGGGGAAACCCAGUGCAAUCCGUUGCACUAUCAUUCACUGAAUUCAUAGGUGAAUGAGGCGAACCGGGGGAACUGAAACAUCUCAGUACCCCGAGGAAAAGAAAUCAACCGAGAUUCCCCCAGUAGCGGCGAGCGAACGGGGAGGAGCCCAGAACCCGCAUCGGCUUGUGUGUCAGUGGAAGCGCCUGGAAAGGCGCGCAGUAAAGGGUGACAGCCCCGUACACGAAGACAUAUAAGCCGGGAGUUCGAUGAGUAGGGCGGGACACGUGGUAUCCUGUCUGAACAUGGGGGGACCAUCCUCCAAGGCUAAAUACUCCUGACUGACCGAUAGUGAACCAGUACCGUGAGGGAAAGGCGAAAAGAACCCCGGCGAGGGGAGUGAAAGAGAACCUGAAACCGUGUACGUACAAGCAGUGGGAGCCUUGAUUUAUCAGGGUGACUGCGUACCUUUUGUAUAAUGGGUCAGCGACUUAUAUUCUGUAGCAAGGUUAACCGUCUAGGGGAGCCGCAGGGAAACCGAGUCUUAACGGGGCGUUAAGUUGCAGGGUAUAGACCCGAAACCCGGUGAUCUAGCCAUGGGCAGGUUGAAGGUUGGGUAACACUAACUGGAGGACCGAACCGACUAAUGUUGAAAAAUUAGCGGAUGACUUGUGGCUGGGGGUGAAAGGCCAAUCAAACCGGGAGAUAGCUGGUUCUCCCCGAAAGCUAUUUAGGUAGCGCCUCGUGAAGUCAUCUUCGGGGGUAGAGCACUGUUUCGGCUAGGGGGUCAUCCCGACUUACCAACCCGAUGCAAACUGCGAAUACCGAAGAAUGUUAUCACGGGAGACACACGGCGGGUGCUAACGUCCGUCGUGAAGAGGGAAACAACCCAGACCGCCAGCUAAGGUCCCGAAGUCAUGGUUAAGUGGGAAACGAAGUGGGAAGGCUCAGACAGCCAGGAUGUUGGCUUAGAAGCAGCCAUCAUUUAAAGAAAGCGUAAUAGCUCACUGGUCGAGUCGGCCUGCGCGGAAGAUGUAACGGGGCUAAACCAUGCACCGAAGCUGCGGCAGCGACAUGAAAGUGUUGUUGGGUAGGGGAGCGUUCUGUAAGCCGCAGAAGGUGGCCUGUGAGGGCUGCUGGAGGUAUCAGAAGUGCGAAUGCUGACAUAAGUAACGAUAAAGCGGGUGAAAAACCCGCUCGCCGGAAGACCAAGGGUUCCUGUCCAACGUUAAUCGGGGCAGGGUGAGUCGACCCCUAAGGCGAGGCCGACAGGCGUAGUCGAUGGGCAACAGGUUAAUAUUCCUGUACCCGGUGUGACUGCGAAGGGGGGACGGAGAAGGCUAGGCCAGCCGGGCGACGGUCGUCCCGGUUGAAGCGUGUAGGUGGGUGGUUUUGGAAAAUCCGGACCGCUGAUUAACACUGAGGCGUGAUAACGAGGCACUACGGUGCUGAAGUGGUUGAUGCCCUGCUUCCAGGAAAAGCCUCUAAGCAUCAGGUCACAUUGGAUCGUACCCCAAACCGACACAGGUGGUCAGGUAGAGAAUACUCAGGCGCUUGAGAGAACUCGGGUGAAGGAACUAGGCAAAAUGGUGCCGUAACUUCGGGAGAAGGCACGCUGGCGCCAGGUGAAGGAACGAGCUUCCGGAGCCGAGGCCAGUCGCAGAUACCAGCUGGCUGCAACUGUUUAAUAAAAACACAGCACUGUGCAAACACGCAAGUGGACGUAUACGGUGUGACGCCUGCCCGGUGCUGGAAGGUUAAUUGAUGGGGUUAUCGCGUUGCGAGAAGCUCUUGAUCGAAGCCCCAGUAAACGGCGGCCGUAACUAUAACGGUCCUAAGGUAGCGAAAUUCCUUGUCGGGUAAGUUCCGACCUGCACGAAUGGCGUAAUGAUGGCCAGGCUGUCUCCACCCGAGACUCAGUGAAAUUGAACUCGCUGUGAAGAUGCAGUGUACCCGCGGCAAGACGGAAAGACCCCGUGAACCUUUACUAUAGCUUGACACUGAACCUUGAGCCUUGAUGUGUAGGAUAGGUGGGAGGCCUGGAAGUGCGGACGCCAGUCUGCACGGAGCCAACCUUGAAAUACCACCCUUGAAUGUUUGAUGUUCUAACGCAGGCCCGUGAUCCGGGUUGCGGACAGUGUCUGGUGGGUAGUUUGACUGGGGCGGUCUCCUCCCAAAGCGUAACGGAGGAGCACGAAGGUUAGCUAAUCACGGUCGGACAUCGUGAGGUUAGUGCAAUGGCAUAAGCUGGCUUGACUGCGAGAGUGACAGCUCGAGCAGGUGCGAAAGCAGGUCAUAGUGAUCCGGUGGUUCUGCAUGGAAGGGCCAUCGCUCAACGGAUAAAAGGUACUCCGGGGAUAACAGGCUGAUACCGCCCAAGAGUUCAUAUCGACGGCGGUGUUUGGCACCUCGAUGUCGGCUCAUCACAUCCUGGGGCUGAAGCAGGUCCCAAGGGUACGGCUGUUCGCCGUUUAAAGUGGUACGCGAGCUGGGUUUAGAACGUCGUGAGACAGUUCGGUCCCUAUCUGCCGUGGGCGCUGGAAGAUUGAAAGGGGCUGCUCCUAGUACGAGAGGACCGGAGUGGACGCACCACUGGUGUUCGGGUUGUCAUGCCAAUGGCACUGCCCGGUAGCUACGUGCGGAAGAGAUAACCGCUGAAAGCAUCUAAGCGGGAAACUUGCCUUGAGAUGAGUCUUCCCUUGUCCUUUAAGGACACUGAAGGAACGUUCGAGACGAGGACGUGGAUAGGCCGGGUGUGUAAGCGUAGCGAUACGUUGAGCUGACCGGUACUAAUGAACCGUGCGGCUUAACCUGACAACACCGAAGGUGUUU
rnacentral:rRNA from 1 species